UACGGAGGGAGCUAGCGUUGUUCGGAAUUACUGGGCGUAAAGCGCACGUAGGCGGCUUUGUAAGUUAGAGGUGAAAGCCCGGAGCUCAACUCCGGAAUUGCCUUUAAGACUGCAUCGCUUGAAUCCAGGAGAGGUGAGUGGAAUUCCGAGUGUAGAGGUGAAAUUCGUAGAUAUUCGGAAGAACACCAGUGGCGAAGGCGGCUCACUGGACUGGUAUUGACGCUGAGGUGGCGAAAAGCGUGGGGAGCAAACAGG
rnacentral:rRNA from 1 species